CAAUAGCGUAUAUUAAAGUUGUUGCAGUUAAAAAGCUCGUAGUUGAAUUUCUGGGCGGCCCGCCGGUCUUCCAUGUGUUGUACUGGGCGGCGCCGGCCAUCCUUGUGGAGAGGGCUCGCGUUUGGUUGCGUGUCGGAUCUGCAUCAUUUACUGUGAAAAAAUUAGAGUGUUUAAAGCAGGCUGUCGCUUGAAUACAUUAGCAUGGAAUAAUAAGAUAGGACUUCGGUCUAUUUUGUUGGUUUGCGCAAAGAGGUAAUGAUUAAUAGGGACAGUUGGGGAUAUUCGUAUUCCAUUGUCAGAGGUGAAAUUCUUGGAUUUUUGGAAGACGAACUACUGCGAAAGCAUUUACCAAGGAUGUUUUCAUUAA
rnacentral:rRNA from 1 species